AUGUUCUCGCUUAUAAACUCAUGCUCGCCGAAGCCUCUGAAGUGCAGAAGGAAAGAAUAUAAUGUUAACGUGGUAAAAAUAGUACAUGGUACAAUCAAUGUUUCAUUUCACUACCAUGAAAGGACGGACGUGUCGCACGAUCUUGUCCCCCACAUUACUGUUCAAGCUGCCAAUGUUUCUGGAAAUCCCAAGAGUACCCCUUAA